CCCUUAGAUGUCCGGGGCUGCACGCGCGCUACACUGAAGGAAUCAGCGUGCUAAAACCAUUGCCGAAAGGCAUUGGUAAACCCAUUAAAAUCCUACGUGAUUGGGAUCGGGAAUUGCAAUUAUUUCCCUUGAACGAGGAAUUCCCAGUAAGUGUGGGUCAUAAGCUCGCGUUGAUUACGUCCCUGCCCUUUGUACACACCGCCCGUCGCUGCCCGGGACUGAGCCGUUUCGAGAAAAGCGGGGACUGCUGCUGUCGGGGCUUUCGGGCCUUGGCUUCGGUGGAAACCGCUUUAAUCGCAGUGGCUUGAACCGGGCAAAANUCGUAACA
rnacentral:rRNA from 1 species